GGGGGGGGAGGGAAGGAAGGGGUUAAAAGAAACAAAAGAAAGGGUAAAAAAAAAAAAGGAAAGAAAAGGAAAAAAAAAAAAGAGGGGGAAAUAAAGGACUUUUUGAGGGAAAAGAGAAAAAAAAAAAAAAGAAAAGGAGGAAUCGGGGCGGGUCGCUGUGAGGGGCCCCAUCCGGGGCUCCGUCAAUGCCGCGGUUGAAGCAGCGCCGGCCGCAGCCGCUCCGAUACGAAAAAAUUCCAGAAUUGUCCGAUUUCCAUCAAAAUGGGCGCUGGAAGUCUUCGGGAUGCACUGAAAUUGUCCAAAAUCUGUAUGAUUUCCACAGAAAUCGACCCCGAGGUUGGCCAAAAUCCCUCAAAUCUCCUCAAAAUUGACCCUAAAACACUUCAGGAUGCCCCGAAAUGGACCAAAAUCCCACAAAUUUCCUUGAAUGUAUCCCACAAAACGCCUCAGAAUGACCCAAAAUUGACCAAAUGCUUCAAAACUCCUCAAAAUUGACCCCACAACACUUCAGGAUGCCCCGAAAUGGACCCAAAUCCCACAAAUUUCCUCAAAUUUAUCCCACAAAACGCCUCAGAAUGACCCAAAAUUGACCAAAUGCUUCAAAACUCCUCAAAAUUGACCCCAAAACACUUCAGGAUGCCCCAAAAUGGACCAAAAUCCCACAAAUUUCCUCAAAUUUAUUCCACAAAACACCUCAGAAUGCCCAGAAUUAACCCAAAUCUCGCAUAUUUCCCCUCAAAAACCCACCCCAAAACACUUCAGAGUGCCCAAAAUUGACGAAAAUUCCUCAAAUCUCCUCAAAAUUGACCGUAAAACACUUCAGGAUGUCCCAAAUUGACCAAAAUCCCUCAAAAUCGCCCCCUAAAUCACCUCAGAAAGCCCCAAAAUGGACCGAAAUCCCUCAAAGCUCCUCAAAAUUGACCCUAAAACACUUCAGGAUGCCCCAAAAUUGCCCCAAAUCCCCCAAAUUUCCCCCCCAAAACCCAUCCAAAACGCCCGAAAUCCCCUAAAGUCCCCCCCAAAUCCCCUAAAAUCCCCAAAUCCCCCCCAAAAACCCAAAUUCUCCCAAAUACCCCCCC
ensembl:lncRNA